CAGCAACCGCAGCAAGUACGCUGCCUUGCCUCAACCCUGUUGCUCGGCGAUCGCCCCUUGGGUCGCAGCAACUGCAACCACAUCAACGCAGUCGUCUUCCAACCUCGGCACUCUCACCUCACGUAGCGAUAGAAAUAGGGCAGCUACUCUUCCUCCAACGCAGCGAUCGCAGCACUGCCCUUGGCGUCCACCUCCUUGGCAACUUCGCAUCGACAGUAUUGAUGCCCUUGACCGAUA
rnacentral:lncRNA from 1 species